AGCUCGUGUCGUGAGAUGUUGGGUUAAGUCCCGCAACGAGCGCAACCCUUUAUCAUUAGUUGCUAACAGUAAGAUGAGCACUCUAAUGAGACCGCCGGUGACAAACCGGAUGAAGGUGGGGAUGACGUCAAAUCAUCAUGCCCCUUAUGACCUGGGCUACACGCGUGCUACAAUGGCCGGUACAAAGAGUCGCAAAACCGCGAGGUGGAGCUAAUCUCACAAAACCGGUCUCAGUUCAGAUUGUAGUCUGCAACUCGACUACAUGAAGGUGGAAUCGCUAGUAAUCGCAAAUCAGCAUGUUGCGGUGAAUACGUUCUCGAGUCUU
rnacentral:rRNA from 1 species